AGUCUGAGCAGGAACCAGGCCUGAUGAAAGCCUGGCCUUCAGGGCGUCGGUAAAAACCUCCAAGAGAGACGAAGUCACAGCAGCCCAGCUGGCAAGGGCGACUAGGCGGGCGGUUGGAUUAGGAGACCCACGCCACAACGGUGGCCCCGGCAGUCAUAGCUCAGGGCGCAGGUGACGUCUGUAUGGCCCUCAGGUCGACGAGGUUCUGGCCCGCAACCAGCACUCUAAGGAGCAACCCCUCAGUCAGCUGCCUGCUGAGACGGAGCUCCCAGUCAGACGAAAGGUGGCAGGUUGGCCCUGGCCGUGCUGUAGCUGAGGACCCAGGAGAGCAGAACGACCCCGCAGAACACACCUCUGCGAAAUCGGACAGGCAGACAUCGGGACCAGGCACAGCGAUCAGUCACCCCCUACCCUGGCACCAGCCAACCAGUGGGAGACCACGGCCCUACCUCUAUUAGUCACCAUGACUAAGGAUUUGGUUUUUCCCUACAGAACCCGUCCCCUGGAAGCUGUAGAGGAGCCUGGCCUUUGAGCCUGAGCUACCUGUCCCUCUGCGCAUGGCACCAUCUCGGCCAUAAACCCUGACCUCCUCGG